CAUAUUCAUACUAUCACAGGAUUCAAAAUCUCAAAAUGGCAAAAUUUUUGAAGUUGAUUUUAUUCAUCGUCGUCCUUGUUGCUCUUGCGUCAGAUUGUUUAGUUCAUGGAGCGGUGUGCAGAAAAUAUCAUCCCGCACAAUGUGACCCAAACAAUCCUGAAAUUUGUCGCGGAGAAUGCAUGAAAGUAGUUGAACCAGCACCUUAUCAAUGGAGCCAUUGCAAAAUAGAUAAAGAAAACAAUCCUUAUUGUGAUUGUGCAUUUGUUUGUGGUGCCGGAGUGCGGGCUAGUAGUAGCCCCAGCCCGGAACAAGGUGAUGCAACUAUAUCCGAAAAUAAUUAGCUUCUUAAAGUAGUAUUGAGUUGCAAUUUACAAAUUUAUACCUUUCUCUCUCCAACUAAUAGACUCGCGUUUCUCUAUUUUGUAUUUUUACCAUUGCAAUUCUUUUACUGUACUCACUCUGUUUCUUUUUUAUAGAUCUUAGGUAGUUUAUAUUCUGUAGUUCUAUCAUUGUAAUUUGAUCUACUUGUUCUGUUUCUUUAUAUAUAUACAAUCUAUUUUUGUUGUGUGUUA